UAAUAACUGUGAGAAAACACAAGAAAGCAGAUUUGAUUUAUUCUCUCUGACUGCGGUAGAUCGGCACAUACAGCAUGAGCUCCACAAUAAGAUCAAGUCAGUCAAAAUGAGCAUCAGCAUCACCGCAAUUUACCCUGCCAGAGUCAAACAAAGAGACUCAAAGUUCAGCUGCCAUCCUACGGGGGGCGCAAUAUGCACAAACUGCACGAGGUAAAAAAAAAAAAAGCACAGUAAGUUACAUGUAUCUAACUUGCACAGUCACCUGUCACCCGGUGCUAUUUAGCUGGUUUCACCCCUCUGAGGGGGUCGUAGUUUGGGGUACGUAUAUGGGGAGCUGGAAAAUGAAAGGUAAACCAGACCUCAACCCAUUAAGUCAUUUGCAGGGCUGAAAAAAUGGACCAGACGACCAUGAGCUAAUGACGUCUUUCUGCUAUCUCUAAGGGCUGGUGUGUGUUUGCAAGAGUGCGUUUGUGUCGCUUGCAGGUUGAGUGAGUGCACGAGAGAGAGAGAGGGAAUGAGGUAGCGUACCUACUGUAGGGAUAAAUUAUGUAAAAAGAGUAAAAACAUGUUUGAAUGACACAAAGUCAGCCCUUUGCUCGUCAAACCCGCCUUCAACAAUUUGCCAAUUUGCAUAAACCCCUCUAAUAUUUGACCUAAAAGAGCUGUGGCGGCUCCGCUUGAGUGGUAAUGCUGUCUGUGCAUCCACACCACUGACCACGUCUCAGGGAACAGAGAGAGCUCUGCCCGCGGCGGUCAACGCGCCUGUCCUUUUUUCACAGUGGAGAGAACACAAGAAAAAUGAGGAAAGGAGAGGAAAAACCAGAUCAGGAAACACUGCAAACCAAGCUUAAACCCACAUAAAGGCCAUGGCUCAAUGAGUGAACCAACACAACGGCUCUCACCUGAACAGACUUGUAUUUUUAUGCCACUGAGCGGUUUGAACAGGCAGUAAGAUGAAAUGAUGGUUGGAACGGACCGAUACAGUAGCUCCAAUGAUGUAAUGCUGUGAAUGACCUUCUGUCAACCCUCAGCCUGUUCCAUCAGCCAACAGCAUCUUCCCUACAGACAAAUAUUAAAGGUCUAGACAGGAAUGACAGAGACUGAGGAGGACCUUACAGCCAGAGCAGAAAGAAAGCGUGCUCAGGAGGGAGGUUAAGGUCGAGCAGAGGCUAAUGACGCUUCAACACAGAAUGUUCUUAGAGAUCAGGCUCCUCGGCUCGCAGCCUGGCAGCCUCUGAUUAUAACAGUGAUGGCUGGACAAGCCGAGGAAUCGCUUAUGGAGCUGAACAGAACGUUUGGAGAUAUAUCCAGCACGUGAUCAGUUACACAAGUUUCCCUUCUCGGAAGACCUUGAGUGCGUCGGUGGAGGACAGGAGCUGAGAGGGGCACGGGAGAAGCAUGGCGCCGUUUGAUCAGAGCUAAUGCGCUGGAAGCAGCCGAGGAUGCUACCCUUACCGCUCUUUUCCCAGGAGAGAUGGGGAGCGGAGCGAAGAAAGGGUGAAUGAAGAUGUUCCCAGCGGACACCUGCAGAGCAUACCUCACCUUCAUCCAUCAGGAAUCUCCCCUAUGAGUUAAUGCCGGUAGGGAACAACCUGACAGGUUUGGCCUUAAUGGCGUUUUCUGUAGAGAUUUGAGAAUAUUGCAGGAGUGCUAGUUAACAUAAGAAGUGUUCCUGCAAUGCUUUUUUUUUGUGGCGUGUUUGUCUCAUAUUCACAUCAGCUUAGUGACAUGGAGGCCAACCUGAAAGUGAAAGACAGUUAUGAGGGUCAGACCCGAGAUUGAAACUUGUGAAAAGCUUUCAAACCUUGCAGUUCCAUCAGAGUCUUGUUUGUCUCUGAAAAUGUAUGAAUUUGGCACUCGUAUGUUGAAUCAGUUGUUGGCUUUUACCUAAACCUGAACUGCACUUAGUUCCAUUGAUUGCCAUUCAGCUUCACAUAUGAAAUGUGUUUAUUUAAUGGAUGACACAUUUCAAUACUUUUUUUCAUACAAACUGUCUUAAGCAGCUCCAUCUCUCAGCCUUGCAAGGUCAAAUGUCUACUUAAACGUGCAAGGCAUGGAUUAUUAAAGCCCCUUACAUUUCAACAUAUAAUAGGAGGCCUUGCGGAACUGAAAAAUAAUGUGUUUGUGUGUAAAUAAGCAAAAAUGAAAUGGCUUGUCCCAGUGGGUUAUGAUCAGAUGUACUGGCUUUGCUGCAAUAAACCGAAUCUUGUUAAAAUGGCCCUUCAUAUAUAGCGUUUUUCAAAACGCUUUACAACUCCCUCAAGAACACUGAAUCACUUCAUGAUCAAUGCUGCUAUACAUGUUCAAGAUGUUCACUAUUGUUUGUUUGUUCAAUGGCAGCAUUCAGCUGUCAUCUAGUUGUCGGCAGGCAUCUAUUUUCUAAAUGCAUCUUGUUGGAUUUACCAUUGUUUCGACUGUUCACAAGACCAGAAGCUUGAGUAUACACCUACAUGUACAUGAUUAACUGCCAUUUUGUGUACAUUUACUGAGCUUCAUACACAACUGAUUU